UUGUUUUGCAAUGCACGCAUAGCAGUUCGAGCCGCGCGGAUAUCAUAAUAAGAUAUCAUCACAAAACCCCUGUGUUUACAUGCAGUGUAGAGAGUUCUAAUGUUGCCAUAUUGCUCAAAGAGGGUUCUCAGUUCUAUGUCUUCAACAUUACUAUUAAUAUUUCGAACAAAUAAUGUUCUUGAAGGAUGUUCACCAUAAGGAUGUUCUCCAGCAACUGUUCCCACACCAUUUG
rnacentral:misc_RNA from 1 species